UUCGCCCUUAGAGUUUGAUCCUGGCUCAGAACGAACGCUGGCGGCAGGCUUAACACAUGCAAGUCGAACGCCCCUUUCGGGGGGAGUGGCAGACGGGUGAGUAACACGUGGGAACGUACCUCUUUGUUCGGAAUAACUCAUGGAAACGUGAGCUAAUACCGGAUACGCCCUUUUGGGGAAAGAUUUAUCGCAGAGAGAUCGGCCCGCGUCUGAUUAGCUAGUUGGUGAGGCAAUGGCUCACCAAGGCGACGAUCAGUAGCUGGUCUGAGAGGAUGAUCAGCCACACUGGGACUGAGACACGGCCCAGACUCCUACGGGAGGCAGCAGUGGGGAAUAUUGGACAAUGGGGGCAACCCUGAUCCAGCCAUGCCGCGUGAGUGAUGAAGGCCUUAGGGUUGUAAAGCUCUUUUAUCCGGGAAGAUAAUGACUGUACCGGAAGAAUAAGCCCCGGCUAACUUCGUGCCAGCAGCCGCGGUAAUACGAAGGGGGCUAGCGUUGUUCGGAAUCACUGGGCGUAAAGGGCGCGUAGGCGGACGAUUAAGUCAGGGGUGAAAUCCCGGGGCUCAACCUCGGAAUUGCCCUUGAUACUGGUUGUCUUGAGAUUGGAAGAGGUAAGUGGAAUUGCGAGUGUAGAGGUGAAAUUCGUAGAUAUUCGCAAGAACACCGGUGGCGAAGGCGACUUACUGGCCCAUAUCUGACGCUGAGGCGCGAAAGCGUGGGGAGCAAACAGGAUUAGAUACCCUGGUAGUCCACGCCGUAAACGAUGGAUGCCAGACUGUUGGGGAGCAUGCUCUUCAGUGGCGCAGUCAACACAUUAAGC
rnacentral:rRNA from 1 species